AGAUAUAAAUGCAAACAUUUUUUAGGCUAACCUGUUUGACCAUGAGGACCAUCCCUACUGUAAGCUGCCACAAAAGCGGAAAGCAGAGUGUCAGCAGGAAAGCCCAGAUCCCAAAACACAACGACUUGAGGACAUUUCUCUAGAUGUUUUGUCCCCUGACCCCAGAGCAGGGCAGCAACAACCGGAAACAUGCAAUGAAACCACGCCUACACGACAACCGGUGUCUGUGAGCAACACAGAUACUGAGGGCAGCCCGAUCACACCCAAGGGUCACAAGGAGCACACCUAUCACAGCAAAACAACGCCAAGAACAGGAAUGAGACAACUUCGAGAGAAGAACCAGUACCUGCGUGGUGUCCGUCGACGGCUGCAACUGACCCUGAAAAGGA